AGAUUGAUCCUGGCUAGGGAUGAACGCUAGCUACAGGCUUAACACAUGCAAGUCGAGGGGCAGCAUAACGAAAGCUUGCUUUUGUUGAUGGCGACCGGCGCACGGGUGAGUAACGCGUAUCCAACCUUCCCUGUAGUAGAGGAUAGCCCGGCGAAAGUCGGAUUAAUACUCUAUGUUGUAUUUAGAGGACAUCUGAAGAAUACCAAAGGUUUACCGCUAUAGGAUGGGGAUGCGUCUGAUUAGGUUGUUGGCGGGGUAACGGCCCACCAAGCCUACGAUCAGUAGGGGUUCUGAGAGGAAGGUCCCCCACAUUGGAACUGAGACACGGUCCAAACUCCUACGGGAGGCAGCAGUGAGGAAUAUUGGUCAAUGGACGUAAGUCUGAACCAGCCAAGUAGCGCGCAGGAUGACGGCCCUAUGGGUUGUAAACUGCUUUUAUAUAGGGAUAAAGUGCACUACGUGUAGUGUUUUGUAGGUACUAUAUGAAUAAGGACCGGCUAAUUCCGUGCCAGCAGCCGCGGUAAUACGGAAGGCCCGGGCGUUAUCCGGAUUUAUUGGGUUUAAAGGGAGCGCAGGCUGAUGAUUAAGCGUGACGUGAAAUGUAGCCGCUCAACGGCUGAACUGCGUCGCGAACUGGUUAUCUUGAGUGAGUUCGAUGUUGGCGGAAUUCGUGGUGUAGCGGUGAAAUGCUUAGAUAUCACGAAGAACUCCGAUUGCGAAGCAGCCAACAAGG
rnacentral:rRNA from 1 species